GCCCUGGUGGCGAAAUUGGUAGACGCACAGGACUUAAAAUCCUGGGACCUAACAGUCGUGCCGGUUCAAGUCCGGCCCGGGGCACCA
rnacentral:tRNA from 1 species